CAACCCUCGAGCCCCAGUGGCCCGGCGUUGGGGAUCUACGCCCUGUCGUAGGCCCCGAAAACCAGUGGCGGACCCGUAGCGGCCCUUCCUUUGCGUAGUAGCAUUCGCCUCGCAUCGGGAGCCCUCGGGCACCAGCCUUAAAACCCCCCCAAGCCCGCCUAGGCGGCACAAGG
rnacentral:misc_RNA from 1 species